UAGGGAAUCUUCUGCAAUGGACGAAAGUCUGACCGAGCAACGCCGCGUGAGUGAAGAAGGUUUUCGGAUCGUAAAACUCUGUUGUUAGAGAAGAACAAGGACGUUAGUAACUGAACGUCCCCUGACGGUAUCUAACCAGAAAGCCACGGCUAACUACGUGCCAGCAGCCGCGGUAAUACGUAGGUGGCAAGCGUUGUCCGGAUUUAUUGGGCGUAAAGCGAGCGCAGGCGGUUUCUUAAGUCUGAUGUGAAAGCCCCCGGCUCAACCGGGGAGGGUCAUUGGAAACUGGGAGACUUGAGUGCAGAAGAGGAGGGUGGAAUUCCAUGUGUAGCAGUGAAAUGCGUAGGUAUAUGGAGGAACACCAGUGGCGAAGGCGGCUCUCUGGUCUGUAACUGACGCUGAGGCUCGAAAGCGUGGGGAGCAAACAGG
rnacentral:rRNA from 1 species